rnacentral:rRNA from 1 species
GAUGAACGCUAGCGGCAGGCCUAACACAUGCAAGUCAGGGGUGACAUGAAAAGCUUGCUUUUCUGAUGACGACCGGCGCACGGGUGCGUAACGCGUAUACAACCUACCUUUUAGCGGGGAAUAGCCCAGGGAAACUUGGAUUAAUGCCCCAUAGUAUAUGGACUUCUCCUGAAGUUUAUAUUAAACAUUUAUGGCUAUUAGAUGGGUAUGCGUCCUAUUAGUUAGUUGGUAAGGUAACGGCUUACCAAGGCAGCGAUAGGUAGGGGUCCUGAGAGGGAGAUCCCCACACUGGUACUGAGACACGGACCAGACUCCUACGGGAGGCAGCAGUGAGGAAUAUUGGACAAUGGGCGAGAGCCUGAUCCAGCCAUGCCGCGUGCAGGAAGACUGCCCUAUGGGUUGUAAACUGCUUUUACAGAGGAAGAACCACCCCCACGUGUGGGGGUUUGACGGUACUCUGCGAAUAAGGAUCGGCUAACUCCGUG